AUCAGAUGCAAACAGCACGAGGUUUAUUGAGUAGUCACAGGUGGUACUUGGCGAUGAUUUCUGUGUCUGGAGUCUUCUUUGUCACAUUCUCUGAUAUUUGCCUAUGUAGCUGAUGUCACUCAAGAACACGAGCGAAGUACUGCUUAUGGAUGGCUUAUCUCUUGAGGAAAUAUAAAUAAUAAACAGGUGCUAAGCACAUAAGUCCCUGCAAGCUCGUUGAAGCUCCUUGGAGUCGGAGAGAUGCUGCACCUCAGCCCUGCUAAUCCACUGUUAACUGCAUUGCUGGUUGUGUAUCUUUGAUGCUUCUUUGGCCGAUGGUACUGUAGAGAAAGGAAUUUUUUCGGCACAUGAUUGUUGAGUACAUGACACGAGUUGUAGGAGACCUUGUUUUUGGAUAGUGGAGUAUUAGAGAAUCAUUUCUAAUUUUCUGAGGUGGGUUAUGGCUUUAUGGUUCUGCAGGGGAAGACAGACGUGUACAAGAGGACAGGCUGAAGCCCUUGAGGUCAGAGUGUCAGGACUAGAGUGGCUGGGGGCGGGGAGGGAGAUGCCCUGUGAGCAUCUGUGGGUGUGUGUCCGGGAUGUGAACUUGCUGAGGCACGUGACAGUUGUUGAGGGGUGACAUUUUCCCUUCUUCUCUUCUAGGUUCGUUGGCUACCCUAGUCAUAAUUAAAUUGACAUCAAACAGAUUACCAGGGGGGAAACGUUUAAUUUUGUACAGAGCUCCACAAAGACCUGAGAGACCCAAAGGCAGUUGGGCAGUUGGAGCUGGUGUGCCAUCCUGCGCUGAGGAGAAAGGGGGGUGGGGCCUGGAGCUUCAGAGGGAAAGAAAACCGCUCACAGGACGAGGAGAAGAGCAAAUGUUUGACAAGAAGUGGAAGAAAUGCGAAAUCAGUUGCAGGAGUCUGACCUCACCUUCAACCACAAGAUCGCAGUUCAGGAAAGGAAUGCUCUGACUAACUGGGUAAGUGUUUUCCUUUUCCUCAUCUUUGGGGCACAGUCGGGCACAAAUGAACGUGGGUGUGUUUUUCUGCCACAGAUGCAGGCUUGGUAUUGGGAAACAAGGAUGAUGCAGCAGAGCAGGGAGAACGCCUACCUGAAAUACAAAUGACUGUGCGUGAUGAAAGGGGAGAUGCUGCCCGUGGGAUCCAUGAGGCGGGAACCGAUGCCGGGAAGGCCCGAGUUGCAGAAGCCUGUGUGGCAAGGGUAAUCAUUUUGUAAUCUGAAGACUUCCUUGAUCUCCAACAACCAGGCUCCAAUGAGUUUAUAUCUAGUCAAGAUAUGAAUGUUUCUGCCUGGUGGUCUGAAUGCUUUCCCUGCCCAUCCUGUCCCCUGUGCUUUGUCUCUCCUGUUAUCUCCCCAAUAAACUGUUCAUGGUUCUGUCUCUGUAACAUCUGAAAAGUUAUUGAUUUUUUUUUCUUAAUGACAAUUUGAGCUCCCAGAAGCCAGAACAAGCAAUUAGAGGAAUGGCUGCUAACAAUGUAAUUCUGGCCAGUGAGGAAGCUUGUAAGCGGCAGAUCUCAAGGGUGACAAAUGUGUCUUUCUAUCACUGUCUCCCAUUCUGCUGAACUCUUGACAUGAAGACUGUGGGAUAGGGUUGGGGCAGAGGUAGGGGAGAUACCUUUGGAGCUUGGAGCAUUUCACUAGCAGGGAUAGGAGGGCUGAAGUGGUAUUAAAGGGGGAGGAGAGAGAAUAGCCAAGACACUUUUAACCUAUUUAGGGUAUAAUAACAGUAAUGCUGAGUAAAAGAGGAGCAAACCUCACUGUAUUGCCUCUUCCCAAAAGAUCCUGUUGUCUGGACCCAGAAUUUAGGUUGUGCUGUUGGAAAUGAUGGCUUAGGUAUUUCAUGGCCUGGCUUGGGUCAGUUCAGGAAAUUAUCCACCAUUUAUUUUCCCAAGAAGAUACAUUCUGAGUUCCAAUUAGUCAAACUUUCUGAUACAUUUUUGGAAUGCAAUAAAGUUUUAAAUUGGGAAAUGCCUGUAGCUCCUCAUUAGCAUUCCUCUGUGCCAAUGCCUGUAAUCCUCUUUAGGAUGUAGUUUAAGAAAUCAUUCAGCAGAAAUGAGAAAUUCAUGUAUACUAAAGAAAGUAAUGAUCUUUAUCAAAUUUUAGGGGUACAGGGAGAUGCACUGGUUUGGGCUGGUAUUUCUGGAUUAAUAGAGGAGACUAAUUCCAUGCAAAAUAAUGCUAGAAGGCCAAUUAUGAUUUCAGAACACUGAAUAACAUAUCUAUUUUAGUUAAGAGUUUCUUUAUGUACCUAUGGGACUGACUUAAGUUCUGUGCUUUUGGAAAGUUCUGAUUUUUUUUCUUUGUAAGCUUACCAUACAUCAAUCCCAUGCUCCCUCCUUUCACUCACUGGCUCCAAUUCCUGUGUUUUUUGGCUUCGACUUUCCCAUAGUACAUAGCUGUGGUUGUCAAAAUCAUGUGUUGUGGUUUUAAAAAUUCACAAGGAGAUGGAUAAUGUUAAAUGCCAUGUUUUGUCAUAUUUACAUUCUGGUUUUCCAAGCAUUAUAUUAAAGAAACAAAAGACUCAU